rnacentral:rRNA from 1 species
AUUGAACGCUGGCGGCAGGCCUAACACAUGCAAGUCGAACGGCAGCACAGAAGAGCUUGCUCUUUGGGUGGCGAGUGGCGGGCGGGUGAGUAAUGUCUGGGAAACUGCCCGAUGGAGGGGGAUAACUACUGGAAACGGUAGCUAAUACCGCAUAACGUCGCAAGACCAAAGUGGGGGACCUUCGGGCCUCACACCAUCGGAUGGGCCCAGAUGGGAUUAGCUAGUAGGUGGGGUAAUGGCUCACCUAGGCGACGAUCCCUAGCUGGUCUGAGAGGAUGACCAGCCACACUGGAACUGAGACACGGUCCAGACUCCUACGGGAGGCAGCAGUGGGGAAUAUUGCACAAUGGGCGCAAGCCUGAUGCAGCCAUGCCGCGUGUAUGAAGAAGGCCUUCGGGUUGUAAAGUACUUUCAGCGGGGAGGAAGGCGGUGAGGUUAAUAACCUUGCCGAUUGACGUUACCCGCAGAAGAAGCACCGGCUAACUCCGUGCCAGCAGCCGCGGUAA